rnacentral:rRNA from 1 species
AUUGAACGCUGGCGGCAUGCUUUACACAUGCAAGUCGAACGGUAACAGGUUAAGCUGACGAGUGGCGAACGGGUGAGUAAUGCAUCGGAACGUGCCCGGUCGUGGGGGAUAACGCAGCGAAAGCUGCGCUAAUACCGCAUACGAUCUGAGGAUGAAAGCGGGGGACCGUAAGGCCUCGCGCGAUCGGAGCGGCCGAUGUCAGAUUAGGUAGUUGGUGGGGUAAAGGCUCACCAAGCCGACGAUCUGUAGCUGGUCUGAGAGGACGACCAGCCACACUGGGACUGAGACACGGCCCAGACUCCUACGGGAGGCAGCAGUGGGGAAUUUUGGACAAUGGGCGCAAGCCUGACCCAGCAACGCCGCGUGAGGGAGAAGGUCUUCGGAUUGUAAACCUCUGUCCUUGGGGACGAAAAAAUGACGGUACCCAAGGAGGAAGCCCCGGCUAACUACGUG